rnacentral:rRNA from 1 species
ACAUCCAGCGAACUUGGCAGAGAUGCCUUGGUGCCUUCGGGAACGCUGAGACAGGUGCUGCAUGGCUGUCGUCAGCUCGUGUUGUGAAAUGUUGGGUUAAGUCCCGNAACGAGCGCAACCCUUAUCCUUUGUUGCCAGCGAUUCGGUCGGGAACUCAAAGGAGACUGCCGGUGAUAAACCGGAGGAAGGUGGGGAUGACGUCAAGUCAUCAUGGCCCUUACGAGUAGGGCUACACACGUGCUACAAUGGCGCAUACAAAGAGAAGCGACCUCGCGAGAGCAAGCGGGACCUCAUAAAGUGCGUCGUAGUCCGGAUCGGAGUCUGCAACUCGACUCCGUGAAGUCGGAAUCGCUAGUAAUCGUGGAUCAGAAUGCCACGGUGAAUACGUUCCCGGGCCUUGUACACACCGCCCGUCACACCAUGGGAGUGGGUUGCAAAAGAAGUAGGUAGCUUAACCUUCGGGAGGGCGCUUACCACUUUGUGAUUCAUGACUGGGGUGAAGUCGUAACAAGGUAGGCGUAGCGAG